rnacentral:lncRNA from 1 species
UCAUCACUCUUUAUUAACUGGCUUUCGAACUUUGCCCACGAAUGUAUUAGGAAUCUCUUUGUGGCAGAUUAGUUUGGGAAAUAACUCAAGCAACAAAGAGAAGAGAAAUGAGAGACCAGGGAGACCAACCGUCCCUUAUCUGCAAUUCCAAAGGGCGCUCCUGAGCUUUCCAAAAGAGCCACGGCAACAGCACAGCCACAGCCACAGAAGUGCAGUGUCACUCAGGACACAGCAUCAGAGCCACAUACCAAGGAACUUUGGGAACUGGAAAGGACUUCAGAGAAUAUGAAGUGUGGAGACUUGACAGUGGUAGCAGAGAUCCAGGAUGCCAAGAAAGGAAUCUCAGCAGAAAAUAUGGCAGUUCAGACAUACCGCACAGAACAGGGCGAAGAGCUGAUUACAAGAGCAAGAUGUGUAGGAACCAGUGCCUUCUGCCACCAUAGAUAUACAACUGCUGUGAAAGCAGCACUGAUCAAUGAGAGCAUCCAGAAGCACACAUUGGAACACGAAGAGAAGCAAGAAAGUGGAUGCCGGCACAGCUGGGAAUUUUAUUGUUAUUCAAGAAUCUAUUGCAUUCCUGGUCUCUGAGAGGAAGGAUUGGAUAAGUUAAUCUGUCUUUUCUUGAUCUGAGCACACUGCCCACCUCCGAUGCCGCACCUUCACAGCAGUCAGACAGUCCACCUUUGUUUGAGGCUUCAGAGCAAAAGGUUUGGAGGUGGGUUUCCUGGGCUCUAAAUGGUGCUCACCAAGAGGCUGGAUGUUUAGGUUUUGUGUAUGUAAUAUGUGGGGUGCUCGAAAGCAUGGGGUCCCGUUGUUGGGUCAGCAUUGUUUUAUUUCAUUUUGUUUUAUCUUUGGAUCUUAGAUCCAGAUAUUUUAGUUCAGCUUACUCCUCACUUCAUGAUACAAAAGUGCUAGUACCUGGAUUUAUUUACUAUAUCUGGUCUCAUCGUCAUUAUUACUUUUAGUCUAAUAUCUCAUUCAAGUUCUCUUCCUAAAAUUUACAAUGAAGAAAAUAAUAACCGCCUAUGUUUCUAGCUUUCUCUUUGUAGAUUGCUUGAAACACAGGAUGCUUCUAGCAAAUUCAGAUUCAAACUUAGUGAAAUCUGAUUUAUUUUACAAUGUUAAUAUAGGUUCCAUCUGGGGAGUAGCAGUGCAAGGAGAAAGAGGAGAAACUUUAAUUUUCACUGUAUAUACUUGUGUAUUGCUGUAAUAUUUUUUAUCAAGCAUUUACUACCUUUGUAAUA